AUACUCUGCACAUUCACAAAGAUGUCCCGGUUCAGGAAUCAUUACCAACCUCUGUCCUACAUGAUACCAGCUGGGACUAUCCUGCUAACCCACCUGGUCAUACCGCAUCCCUCUGCUCAGAGACCCCCAAAGUACCGAAGCUGAUCCAGUUUACCGGAUCCAUCCGCAGCUCCCAUGUCCACUACAGAGCAGCCGUCUGCAGUAAGAGUAAAGUCAGCCCUGAUCUCCAGCCCAAGCCGUCCGUGUGCUCCGUACCUUCUGUCCUGCAUGAUGACUCCGUGGACUUCACAACUCGUUCGAUCCUCUGUCUAUCCGAUGCCGUUCUGUCUGUAACGUUCUCCUGCUCUGGAAAGCCGAGCCUCAGCGUGGUCAGGUCUUGUCUGAAGAUGAGAAGGAGCCGGCCGCUCGUAAUCUCUUUGGGAAUGGAAACAAAACCACAUUAACAG